rnacentral:lncRNA from 1 species
AAAUAAUAGUAAAGGGGAAGUAAGGUCGAAUCCUCAAAGACCGGAUUGUACAAAUACUAGUUUCUUGAAAUCCUAGACAAUUUCUUGGCCAAGAAAACCUGCGUUCUUAAAAAAUAAAAAAAUAGAAUUAAGAAUCUGAAAAAAUAAAAACAGAAUUUAAAGUGAAUUGAAAUUGUGAAAUUAAAUAGAUUGCAGAAAUUAAAAUGGAAAAAAUAAACAAAGUUCAAAAAUAGAGAAAGUUUCUUAUGUGGCGAGAUUCCAGCCUCCGGUUGUCU